ensembl:lncRNA
CGUGAGCAUGCCUUGCCAGUCUAGUGUGAAACCAGCGGCGAAAUUGAUAUUUAGUAGCGAAAUUACAGUAGUUAAUGUCAGCUAACGCUAGCUAGCUAGUAAUUUGGCAGUCUUCAUUUAUUAUGGAUAGAUUUGUUUUCAAACAUCCGCGGACGGACAAAGUGCCCGUUAAACUUUUCAUUGACACUUGAGUGCGAACAAGAGGACAAGAAGGAAGGCAGCUUCUUCCACCUGUCAGAGGGAAGAAGACGUGCAAUAUUUAUUAAGAGAAGAGGUGCGUGGGUAAUUCCUGCACUUCACGCAUGCUGGUGGCCUGGACGCCAAUUCGCUCAUCAGAAGCAUAGAAUAGACCCUCGCCCAAUGCAGCAUUGACAAAAAACAUGUGUAGGACUGCCGUCAUAUCUGGGAAUAACGGAGUACAGCAGAAAUUUCAAAAGGAGGUGCCACAUGCAUUGUACAUUCACUGCCAUGCACACAGAUUAAACCUGCAUUUUUUGAAACAGUCCAAAUGUUGUACAACUUCUUCUCCAACUCGGUGGCCCAUGGUGUGUUCAUUAAGAAACAGAGAGAAAUGGAACCAACUGCCCAGCCAGACAAACGUUGGGCAUUUAAAUAUGCGGCAUUGGUGGCUAUCCGGAAAUCUCUGCAUGCAAUAAAGACAACAGUACUGGAUAUCAUGUCUCAGUCUAAUGCACGUAAGAAAACGGAGGCCAGAGCUGUGAGUGGAAGUAUUGACGAACAGUUUUUUUGCUUCUCACGCUUUUCGAGGAUCUAUUCCAUGUCACAAAAUUAAUGUCUGACCAGCUCCAAUCUCCCAGUCUUAAACUUUCCUCCGCAAUAGACUUAGUGGACUCGGUUAUAGCGACAUAGUCAGACAAACGCGCAGAGGCCUCAUGGAGGGAAAUUCGGGACUGAGCAACGGGCCUGUGCACCAAAGCCGAUGUAUGCCAGAGCGGGACACGAUAGUUUGUUGUCGAAGCCCCAAUUGAGUCCAAACAUGUUACAGUCUCACCCCUCAACCCCAAACAUGCGUCUUUCCUUGAUAAAAAAAAUUCUGCAGCCCAUGGCCCAGUUCUAAAGAGUGACAUAUGAGAAGGAAAAACAGGGGCAUAUAGUGAAUGACACGACGGAAUUUCUCGCUUUAAUGCCACCCUACCAGGAUGCUUUUACGGAUUUACACAGACUCAUCUGUAUUUCACUGACCCUGACGUAGACCUCUGCUUGGUGCGAACGCAGCUUCUCUUGCUUGCUUCGCAUAAAGAAUUAUCUACGGAAUUGCAGCGGUGAUGCCCGAAACAGUAACCUGGCCCUGUUGGCCAUCAACAAAGAAAGGACAAAGGCUUUGGAUGUCCAGCGCACAUUUUUUUUUUCUAACCACAACAACCAUUGGAUUGUGCUCCUUUGAGAACGUAAAUGGUUGGUUAAUGUUGACUAAAGACAAAGCAGGGAGGCCAGCAGAGAGGUCAGCGGAGUAGAGUGGAGAAGCACCACCGUCUGAAAGGCCAUCCACCUCAGAUUCAGGAAGAAACCGGCGUGUGCAUAAGGAGGACAUCCAUCAGCAGUUGGAUCAGCCUUCCUCCAAGUGUCGAAAGUAUCGAGAGGAAUUUAGCCAGUAUGGAUUCACACGUGUCAUUGUCAACGAGGUACAACAUCCCCAAUGUGUUGUGUGCACUGACGUGCUUGCACGUGAAAGUCUAAAGCCUGUAAAAAUGCUACGACACAUGAAAACCAAGCACCCCUCUCUCGCGGCUAAACCAGUAUAUGUUUUCCAGCGAAAGGAGUGAGAGUUGCAAGGCCAAAAAAAGUCCUAACUAAACAAACAACAAUCCCUGCCAAAGCCCAACAGGCAUCAUUUGAGGUGGCAUAUUUAAUUGCAAAGGCAAAAAAACUACAGGGAUCGGAGAAACCCUUAUCAAAACCCCUGCUAUAGCUAUAAGUCAGGCUAUGCAUUGGGAUAAACUGGCCGGU